ensembl:lncRNA
CUUUCUCUUCUUCUAGUCAGAAGACUAACCAAACCUUCCAUACUACGUCUUUUGCCUUGAUAGGGGUGUUCCUUGAACCUCACAGCUUUAGCACAGCACUUUCUGUUGAGAUUCCCGCCAACGGGGAAGUAUUAGUGCCAGUCCUCUGCCUCUUUUUGUUUCUGUUGUCUGGAUUUCAUUUAGUGGCCCACGAACAGAGGCAGGAUAGCCAAGCCCUGCAGGUGGAGGCAGGGACCAGGCUCAGGAGCAAGGGCAGAGUGGUUUCUUUGUUUCUAAAGGGAAUGGCAGUGUUUUCUGCAGGUGGAUUUGCCACAGCCUUUCUUACAAG